rnacentral:rRNA from 1 species
CCUACGGGUGGCAGCAGUGAGGAAUAUUGGUCAAUGGACGCAAGUCUGAACCAGCCAUGCCGCGUGCAGGAAGACGGCUCUAUGAGUUGUAAACUGCUUUUGUACGAGGGUAAACGCUGAUACGCGUAUCCGUCUGAAAGUACCUUACGAAUAAGGAUCGGCUAACUCCGUGCCAGCAGCCGCGGUAAUACGGAGGAUUCAAGCGUUAUCCGGAUUUAUUGGGUUUAAAGGGUGCGUAGGCGGGCUGUUAAGUCAGCGGUAAAAUGUCGGGGCUAAACCCCGGCCUGCCGUUGAAACUGGCGGCCUCGAGUGGGCGAGAAGUAUGCGGAAUGCGUGGUGUAGCGGUGAAAUGCAUAGAUAUCACGCAGAACUCCGAUUGCGAAGGCAGCAUACCG